AUUGAACGCUGGCGGCAGGCCUAACACAUGCAAGUCGGGCGCGCGGCGGACGGGUGAGUAAUGUCUGGGGAUCUGCCUGCUGGAGGGGGAUAACUACUAGAAACGGUAGCUAAUACAGCAUACCAUCAGAUGAACCCAGAUGGGAUUAGCUAGUAGGUGCGGUAAAGGCUCACCGAGGCGACGAUCCAUAGCUGGUCGGAGAGGAUGAUCAGCAACACUGGGACUGAGAAACGGCCCAGACUCCUACGGGAGGCAGCAGUGGGGAAUAUGGCACAAUGGGCGCAAGCCUGAUGCAGCCAUGCCGCGUGUAUGAAGAAGGCCUUCGGGUUGUAAAGUACUUUCAGUCGGGAGGCGUUACCGACAGAAGAAGCACCGGCUAACUCCGUGCCAGCCGCCGCGGUAAUAC
rnacentral:rRNA from 1 species